rnacentral:lncRNA from 1 species
AUGGAGGAUAAUGUGAGAAAAAGAAUGUGUAUCUAUGUAUGACUGGGUCACUUUGCUGUACAGCAGAAAUGACAGAGCAUUGUCAAUCAGCUAUAAUUUAAAACCUUUUUUUAAAAAAAGUAAGAUUUUUUUGGAUCAGUGGAAACAAAUCCACCUAGGAUCCGUAAGGAUGUGGGUUUGACCCCUGGCCUCACUCAGUGGGUCAGGGAUCUGGCGUUGCCAGAAGCUGUGGUAAAGGUUGCAGACGUGGCUCGGAUCCUGUGUUGCUGUGGCUGUGGUGUAGGCCAGCAGCUGUGGCUCCAAUUUGACCCCUAGCCUGGGAACUUUCAUAUGCCAUGGAUGUGGGCCUAAAAAAGCUAAAAAUAAAAUACAAAAAUAAGAAAGUAAAAAUAGUUAAGAUUUAAAAAAAAACGCUUGGAAGGCAUUUUUCUGCCCUUGCAUUGAUCUCAUCCAGAAAACCUGAUCCAGGGGCAGGAAGGUGAUGUGGCGCCGAGGAGAACCAAAGAUUUGGCCAGAUCUACAGGUCACUUUGGCCAAGGUUACGAGUGAGGUCUCAGAGAUGGGGCAAAAAAAGACUGACUUGGAUGUUUUCAGUCUCAAAAAUUAAAGUCAGGUUCAUGUCCAUUGGAACCAGCUUUCCCAGGUGGGCAGCCAGCACUCCCAUUUUCCCCAAGUUUCAGGAGUUCCCUGUGCCUGGCCUGGAGAAAAGGGAAAACUCCAUCAAGUCUCUGGGAGCUGACGCUGGGGCAGGCCGGUCCCCUGCAGAUCCCACAGGGUUCUGGGUGAAUGGCAGAUGCACUGCUGGCUCUGGGACGCUCUCAGCCAGAACCCUGGUGCCUCUUCUGCUCUUUGCAUAACUGGAAAUGUGUUCUUAAUAUUUACAACUCUUACUUCUAUUAGGUUCUUGGGGAUGAAGCCUUGAGCAGCCAACUCUGGGAGGCAGCAGGUUCACCAAGAAGGGGAAAGGCUCUAACACUUAAAAACCACCAGGCAGAUGCUUAAGGAAGCAGGCCUCUUGGGAGGUGAAAGGCUAAGAGUGGACACCAGGACUGUUAAAAACAGCUCUUGGGAGUUCCCUGGGGGCCUACAGUUAAGGAUCUAGCAUUGUCACUGCAGUGGCUUGGGUUCAGUCCCUGGCCCAGGAAAUUUCACAUGGCAUGGGCAUGUGAAAAUAAAUAAAAAAACCUGUCCUGGCAUUAAGAAUUGCAUAUAAAGAAAUAUACGUAUUUCAGGAGUAAGAGUUGUUGUCUUGUCCCCAAAUCAGUUAGAAAUCUGAAUAACUGUCCAAUGCAACAGAUACUGCCCCAAACCCACACCCUCUUGUCCUCCAGUUCACAUGCCCACAUUUGGUUUGGUAAUUCACUCUCCUCUUCCUGGUCAGGAUGGGCCUCACCAAUUCCAACACAGUAACUCCUCCCCUUGUCUCUGAUUGGCUGGGGCUGAAGACGAGGCCUAAUUCUGGCCAAUGAGAUGCAUGGGAAAGUCGGGGAGGCUGGGGCUCAGGAAAGUUUCCCUCAUUUUUAAUGAGACCCCAAGUAGAGCCGGUGGGGAGGGAAGCUGGCCAGAGAGCAGACCUAUGGAGCGAGCCUAAUGCCUUGACCUCGUGAGCCCUGGAUGUAACCCGUCAUGAAGCUGCCCAAGGUCUGCACUUAGGUUUUAUCAAAAUUUUAAUGUUCUGAGAAUUUAAAUCAUCUUGAGUAGAGUUUUCUCCCACUUGCAGAGGAAGGAAUCCUAAUUGAUACUUCUCAUAAUCUAAGCAAUUGGGGCACCACAAAUUACCUUGGAAUUAAAAAAAUAAAAUAAAAAAGAAAACCACAACCGAAAAACGUCUCUGUCACAAAAGGUUCAGAAACAGCUUCCCUGUCCUCUCCCUGCAAAGCGCAGGGCAGCUUGAGAAGAUCAUGACCAUGGCAGCUGCUCUGCUCUGCCCUCCCCAGGGGCCUCUCUGCCAGGUAUGCAUCUGGGUGAGGGUCCAUGAUGCUGGCAGACAGGCAAGGGCACAGGAGGCUGAGGGAAGGCAGUAUAUGUGUUUCAAGGAUGUCAGAGAGGUCAAAACCAGCCCCUGUUUCGAGUGGGGAGUCCUGAGUUUUGUCCUCAGACUGUGCUCCUCCCUUCUUGCCCUCGGGCCGGAAGUUCCCCCAAAGACUCAGGGGACAAUUCCCUGGCUACAUAAAAUGCCCCUGAUGACACUGGAGACUGGCUUUCACAAGUCAAGCCUCCUUCACUGAUGUGAAACUUCAAACAACUUCCAAAUAAGACCCAGCCCCAGGGCUGGAACACCAAUUGGAGUUAGAAGCCCAGCACUCCCCGUGCUUCCGAGUAGGGACUGAAGGUGAGGCAGCCCCCAGCCCAAACGCUCCUUAUGGAAAAGGGAACAGCCCCACUCACCAGGAGAGAGUCUUCCACAGGCUUUCCAUCUGCAGGAACCAAACAAAAUCUCAUCCUUUCUGUACCUUGCCUCCCUGACUUGCCAUUCAGCUUCGAGGCUCCCUAAGAAAUUUGCUUUUCAGCGCCAAGGGCCAAUACAAUUAGACUUGUUUUUCUAACUCCGAAGCCAAGUUUCCCGCACACAAACACAGCAUAUCCUCCUCAAACUCACAAUUCCCCCUUGGGGAAACUCCCUCUUGUUCAUGUUGUAAGUAGUGCCUAAAACCAGCAGAAAAGAUGAAAAGGGGGGUUACCUGGCUUGUGGGCUGACGGGGGACCGGGUAUCCGACCGCAGGGCUGGCUCCACCUGUCUGACCCGCCAGGCUUGUCAUUGCCGCCGCCGCCAGGCCAGGGCUCACUGCCAGCGCCCGGACCGCCACAGGUGUGCAUUCACCUGCAGAGAGGUGCUCGCACCCAGGUCCCCUCCCCUGCCUGCUCCCCACCUGUGACCUGCUCCCACCCCCUCCAGCCAAUCAGGCACUGCGACAUCUCUCCUGCGUCAUUUCAAUUCUCAAUCUAAAGCUGAUGGAAAAAAAGAGCAAAAGGGAAGGGGAAAGAGAGAGGGGAGAGAGAAAACACCAGCCCCCAUACCCACCGGCAGGGCCUCGGUAACAGUCAGAGGUGGGGCCAGGUGGACCAGGAGCCUGAACAAAAGCCUUCCCAGUGAUCGGUGAUGGUCAGGGUCAAAUUCCAGGGCUGCUUUUUUCCCUCUGGGUGGCUAUUUUGGGAAAGCAGCUUUACGCCAGCAGUCGGCAGACUGGCUACCUCGGACGCUGGAAUCCGGAAGACUCAGAGCUCUGCCAGGUCCCAGCCCAGGUGAAGCAGGGAGAGCAGCCCUGGAGAGCAAAGGGUAGUUCCAGGUACCCCUGGAACCCGGACCCCUGCCCUGGGUGCACCCAAGCCCACCCAUCCUCCUGGCCCCACCCUUUCAGUAGGGCUCCCUGGGUACCUGGGGUACUGUCCAGUUUGUGCGAGGAGGUUCUGGUUUGAUGUGUUAACCAGGGGCUGAUGGGUACAGCUGGUGAGGCUAGUGGGGCUGGUGGCAACUGGAGUCCUUGGAGGCUGGAACUAGCUUCUUGUCCAGCCAAGUCGACAGUGAGCAUGGAGCUCUCAGCACUGGCUGAGUGUGAGGCCACAGGUGGUGCCUGGGGAGCGGGUCCAGGCAUCCCAACCACUGCUCAAGUUCAACCGCCUGCUUCAGAAGGCAGCCAAUUACACUGAGCCUCCUCGGAGAGCCACUGCAGAAGAGAAGCAGGGACGCCCUGGAGGAGAGCUGUGGACUCCCUGAGAUCUUCCGAUUUCCAGAGUUUUCUGGUUCAAGGCAGGUGCUAAUAAGUAAGAUCUAAAGGCCCUGCUAGUAAACUAGAACCCAUUUCCCUGAGGAGAGGGUGAGGCAGGGAAAGGAGCCCAAGAGAGAUCCAGAGGCGGAAUUUAGACGGAACCGACCUCCUGCCUCAGGGUUACAGCCCCUACUCACCAGACAUGGGUGGGAGAAUGCGUGGCCUCUGACCUCUGGAUCGGGUCAGUCCUUAGGGCUUCACUGUGCUUCGUGAGGCUCCAUCUCAAGCCAUUGGCUGUCACUGUGGCCCCAGGAGGGGCCACAAACAGGCCAGGCCUUGCUCGAGGGGCCUGAAGCAAGGGCGUGACUGCAGGUGGAUCCUCCUGGGGCCUGACUCCUUCCCCCGCCCCCUCCCCCAAUGCCCGAUCUCAAACAGCCAGUUCUUGGCCUUUCUCCAAGGCCAGUCCCAGGUCAGAGGCCUUAAGAAAAUCCCCCAAGCACUGGCCAAGGUCAGACCGCCCCGGCCCUUAGGUCAACGGCUCCUCACUGGGCUAAGACCCAAACUCACGGGAGACAACUGCAACUUCAGAAAACUGAACUGCCAGGGUGCUGACGAUACAGUCUUCAGCAACAGCCCCAUGUGGCUCAAGGCAAGGACUUCCUAAGCACAGCUAAAGAAGAAGUGUCUGCCUCCAGUUUGGAAGACAAGACUCUUUCAAAUUUACAUACCAAGUCCCAUGAUAAGUCACUCGGGAUCCCCCAAAGUAGAAAGGCUGCUUGCGGUGAGAGCUGGGUGAGCCAACAAAACAAACAACUGAGCCCGAUGACGUCAGCUUUUUGGAAAAGGAACAAAGACAACUGCACCCAAGUGAGCAGCCGCCUAUUGCGCCAAGGCAGUGGCCACCGAAAGCCCGUCCUGCAUCCUCAAGCCCAGAGGCUCUCCAUGGGGGGCGGGGGGGGGGAUUUUGUCAAUGUGACAAUGUCUGGAGAACUUUCUGGUGGUCACAAGUGGGAGGGGGUCGUUCCCCAUUGUGGCUCAGCGGGUUAAGAACCCGACACAGUGUCCCUGAGCAAUCCCUGGCCUUGCUCAGUGGAUUAAGGAUCCAGCAUUGCCGUGAGCUGCAGCAUGGUUUGUAGACGGGGCUCAGAGCCGGCAUUGCUGUGGCUGUGGUGUAGACCGGCAGCUCCAGCUCUGACUGGUCCCUUGCCUGGGAACUUCCACAUGCUGCAGGUGUAUUCAUAAAAAGAAAAAAAAAAAAAAAAAGCCAGGGUGGGGAUGCUACUGGCAAUUAGUGGAUACAGGCUGAUCCCAGCUCCCAAAGCAGAUUCAUCCACCCCCGGUGCUCCGGCACUGCCACUAGAAAAGGCUCUAACACCACGAAGAUUUCCAGCCCUUCUUUAAAAGUCCUGGAUGGGAGUUCCUGUUGUGGCACAGCGGAAACAAAUCUGACUAGUAUCCAUGAGAAUGUGAGUUCGAUCCAUAGCUUUGCUCAGUGGGUCAGGGAUCUGGAGUUGAGGUGAACUGUGGUGUGGGUCGCAGACAUGGCUCAGAUCUCAUGUUGCUGUGGCUGUGGCGUAGGCUGGCAGCUGUAGCUCCAAUUCGACCCCUAGCCCGGGCACCUCUGUAUGCCGCGGAUGUGGCCCUAAAAAGAAAAAAAAAAAAGUCCUGGAGAAAUGGCCACCUUUAGUCCCUGGACAUGUCCCCCAGCCCAGAGCACCACCUGCUCCCUGCCAGGCCAGGCGAUCUCAAGUUGGUAUCUUUGGAGGGGGCUCUAGGAACAGACCCCAGCUUGGGCGAGUUUCCUGGCUGCCCCAGGCCAAGGGUCCCAAUCGUCAGAACUGACACCCCCACACCCACUGUUCAGCGGCGGCAGAGCGUUCCCCUCAAAAGUACAGAGAGAGAGCGGUGACAGUUCUCAUCGUGACAGCGGUGACAGAGGACCUCAGCUGUGGCAGGUGCUUCCCAGGCGUCAAGGGCCUUUCACAUACUUCGUCUCAGCUGAAUAAGUAAGAGCCUCACCCAUUAAAGCGGUCUUUCUGCGUUCCUGACCUGCCAGGCCAGGGGAACAUGCAGGAGCCUCACCUCCAAGUGCCCGGGGUGGGGGGAGUGGAGGGGGGAGAGCCUGCGCCUUCCUUCACAGGCAGGGCACUGAGGGACCUGGAGCCCAGACCCCCGAGCUGGGUCCACCCGGCCUCCCCCCCGGGACCCCCAGACAAGCUGGGUGUGGGGGGCCCCAAGUAAGCAGAUUCGCAGAGCCACUCCCGCCUGGUAAGCUUCUGGGACUGGAGCUGGGCCAAUG